rnacentral:lncRNA from 1 species
CCGGGGCUGACAGCCCGGCCCAGCCCCCCGCCCGCACCCGAGCGCGCCGCGGAGCUGUCACCGGCCGCUGCCCUUCUCGGCGCCCUAGGAUUAUCCUCCCCGGAUCCGCGCGCUGCCCCGGCGCGGGGGAGGGGGCCGAGCCGCGGCCGCGGGUACUCACCCCGCCCCAGGAGCGGCGCCUCCCGCCGCAGGAUGCGCGGACCCGGCCGCCCAAGGAAGCCGCGCCGGGUGGGUGUGUGCGGCCGCGCGCGGACCCGGUGCCCCGGGGCGAGAUGCCUCCAGCCCCAGCCCGGCCCCCCCGCCCGCAGCUCCGGGGUCCCCGCGCCCGCCGCUCGUGAGCGCAGGAGCCUGUACCCGCCCGCCGCCGCCGCCGCCGCCGCCGCCUCCGCCAGCGCUGCCGCGUCCCUCUAGCGAUCCGCGCCGCGUUCCCAUCCCCGCCCCCACCUCAGCUGUGGCUGCUCCAACGAGUCAGGUGACGGCGGCGGACUAACCCGGGCGAGCUCUCCGCCGAGCGCCUCGCGGCCCCCUCCCAGCUACUCACCCGCGCCCCCCCCCCCCCCCGCCCCGGGGACCGCCGGCUUACAGGCAAGGGGGCGCCGCGCGCGAGCAUCCCCGGCCGGCGCGAGACGAGAAGGAGGAGGCGGGCUGGCAGGGAGGCCGACGCCCACCAGCCAACCCUCCGCCGGCGAGACCCGCACCCGGCGCGCAGUGCGUGCGCGCGCACCCAGCACACCUGCCCGGCUGCUGCGGGCUCCGUGCAGGGCGGCGGGGGCGUGGGAGCUCGGCUGCCCGGGCUCGCGGGGGCCGCGGGGAAGGCCCGGGGCGGCCAGGGCGUCGUCGCGCGCGGCCCGGCAAAGCGCAGCCCUCGCUCCUCGACGUUCUGUCUCUGACUCGGAGGCAGCGGCGGCCGGGAAGGGCAGGGCGAUCUAAACGUCAGACCCCUCGGGCCAACCUCGCCGUUACCUGUGCCUCCGCCUCGAGGCCUUGGAGCUCCUCUACUUGUUUCAGUUACGCUUGGAAGCCGGGGUGGGCAGAAACUUCAAGAAGAACAGCACCUCGCAGGAUUAUUUGA